AAGUUUGGUGCCGGCCAGUCCCUGAGGCCUGCGGGUUCCAGGGGAGGUGGGCAGGCGUCUGUUGCUGUGGUUUCUUAAAGACACAGCAGCAGCCUCGGGAGCCUGGGUCUCUGUCAGAGGAAGGCGGCAGACGUUCCAGAAGAGGUGACUCUGUGAACUCCCCUGGCUGAGAGGCCCUGACCUCCUCAAAUAAAGUCACCCUCCAUGGUCUAAUCACAUUUCUGGAAAAUUCCAACAAUACAUGGGGAAGCCCUCAACAUCUUGCCUCCGUAUCUGAGCAUCCAGCCCAGCUCCCUCCAGCCUCUGGCUGUCUCCAGGGGGCUGCAGCAGAGGCACAAGUAUCAGGCCUUGUCACCUUGUAAUUGGGGAAACUGAGGCACGGGGUUCCCCCCAAGGGCAUGGAGUAGGGAGUGGCGAGUUGGAACCUGGGCUUGUGUCUCCAGGACUUGCACCCCACCCCACCUGAGCCCAGUUUCUCCAGCUGUAGCCAAAAAUGCCUGGAUUCCUACAUCACUUCAAAAACGUGCCUCUGGUACCUGCUAUGUGCCAGGUGAGGACCUGCACCCUCGGUCUCGGUGGGGAACUGAGGAGACAGGAUUCCUGUCUUCCAGGAACUGAUGUUCCGGAUGGGGUGGGGAGGGAGACGCAUAGGACAUAUUUUGUUAGUUAAUUUGUUUCAUCACGUCAGGCCGCGACCCCAGGUGUGGAGAGAAUAAGGUGAGGAGGGGAGGGUGAGUCAGGCAACUUCCUGGAGAAGCUGAUGUUUGAGAAGAAGGUGAGGGAGGAAGCCAGGGGCCAGAGCAUUUUAGCCAGAGAAGACCUGAGCCAGUGCAAAGGACCUGAGGCAGGGCCUCCAGAGACAUGGCUGGUGCGGCUGCAGUGGAGGGCAGAGAGGCAGGAAUGAGGGACAGAAGCCCUGCCCCUCCCCCAGGAAAGGGGUGGUCCUGCCUUCCUUCAGGGUUCAAGGACUUCAGGGUGGAUGGCCCCACUUUGGCACAUAGAGGCCAAAAUGAGAAAGCAAAAACAUCCCUCAGGACCCACAGGUCUCCAUGGACUCCUCUGUGGUCUCCCCUCACUCACUCGUGCCAGCCACAUGGGCCUCCCCGUUGUGCCUCCAGCACACGGAGCCUGUCCUGGCCUCAGGGCCUUUGUACCUGCUGGUCUCUGCCUGGAAUGCUCUCCUUCCAGAGGGCCACCUGGCUAGCUCCUCCUCCGUCUUCAGGUCUCAUCCCUGUUGCUGUCCCCUUCUCUCUGUAAGAACAGCGGCUCCAGGAGCUUCCUGUCCUUCACUGCCAGCGCCCCCGCCAUGCGUCCCAAUGCAGAAGCUGCGUUAGAGUGAGCUGGACGAACAAAUGACCCACCACGGACAGGGACGGGAGGAGGCAGCCGGCCACAGGGCGGAGGGGGAGCCUACCACGGGACCCCUCUCUAGACACAGCCAUGGAGCCCUGGGCCAAAAUGUGGCUUCAGGAGGCAGGAGGGGUGGGAGAGAAGAGAGUGGGCUCUGGCCGGUCCAGCGUGCGGGACAGCAUCCUAUUAACCAAGAUGGAGUCCGGCCUGGGGAGGACAGAGGCCUCCUCUACCCACUCUGGUUAGUGAGGCUGGAUCUGAGGCACCUGUUCAAGGGCCUGAAGAAAAGCCCAAGCUGGGGGACCGGGAGGGGGGAAAGUGGGGAGGAAGGGAGCUGCAUGCAGAAGAAUGUCUCCCGGGCCAGUUCCUGUCCUGCUUCUCCAAACCGCCCUGCACCACGCCUCUGCCAGCUGGGCAUCUAGCGGCACCCCAAGUUGCAGAUGCUGGAAAGAGACUGAUUCCACUUAAACCUGCUCCCCCAUCAAUGGCUGCCUUCCCCGCCUCCCCUCCUCCCCUCGCCACACCCCACUGGGCUCAGCAGGGCCAGCUCGGGAGCCUCUGUCCUGCUCUUCUAACUCCUGUCCUCGUCCCUGCCCCACAGUUUCUUCCCUGGCCUCAGAAUAACGUCCCAAUGCCUUUCAAGGCCAGCAGGCUGGCUUUGCCCACGGCCUCUCUCCGCUGGACCUCCCAGCCCUGGCCUUGCAGACUUUCUCUGUGGCCUGGCCAGGAGCUCCUCCCAGUGCCCCCACCAUGCUCGGGGCUCCACACCUGCUCUGCCUCCCUGCUCUUCCUCCCCUUCAUCCAGAUGCCUCCCCUGAUCGGCUCCUGACACAGCCAGGUGACUUCCUGGGCUCCCUCCCUGAGGGCGUCAGCUCUGCCAUGUUUCCAUAUUUUAACAGCCUCUGCCUGCCAGGUAGUUAUCACUGCUGGCAUCGUGCUGAGUGCUUAACCUGUGAGGUGAUGGAGGCGGUCAGGCCCACUUCACAGGUGGAGAAACGGAGCACGAGGAGGUGAAGUCACUGGCCUGAGGGCUCCUCAACUCCAACUGGCAGGACAAGGAUUGAGACACAAUCCGAUGGUGUUAGCCAGCUGGCCCAAUUCUCUCUGGUACCCACAACACCGAGAAUGGACCCGGGGCUCCUCCACCUUCCAACCCUGGCCAGCCUCGCCGCACCUUUCAUUUUCCCUCUCCACACUUGGGCCACGCUGGCCUCUUUUGGGCUGUGCAGAAGCACCCAGCUGGGCGCUGCCCGGGGGAUCUUGCUGUUUGCUGGGCCCAGAAAGCCCUCGCUGCCGGUCCCAUCAGGUCGGUUGGCACCUUCCCUGAGAACCUCCUUUGCCGUCCCUCCUGGCACCUCCACCCUUCCCCUAGUUCCCUGAAGGGUCGUCUUCCCAGCACCGUGGAAUGAUGAGAUUUUCUAUUUACACGGUUCUUAGAAACCGUCUACGCAGCAGCUGGGUUGUGGACUCCGUAGGCCUGGGGCCCUGCUGCGUCCCCAGCCCUGGUACGUCGGUGACACCAGUGGGCGCCCGCCCCGAUUUGCCCGUGACGGGCGGACACUCCCGUGGCGCUCCGCCCGUUCACACAUCCGGAUUCCCCGCGUCACGGGGCCAGGCUCGCCCCCACUCGCUCCCGCCCGUUUCGCAGCCUCGUCCUUGGGCUCCCGAGCCGCCCGGGCCCUCGGGGGACCAGGGCUCUCUCGGGAAGGUGGCCCGGACCGCAGGCCAGAUGGGAAGCCCCGAGAGGCAGCCCGGGAGGAGUGCUGGGGGACGCGGGGGCUGCGUUUGGGGGCCAGGGAGGUCAAGGCCGCGUAGGCGGGGCCGGAGCCCGUCGCGAGGGUGGCGUUCGGGGCGGUGUUCGCGGCGCGGGGCGCUCUUACCUGGGG